AAGACAGGUGCACAGACAGAGCCUUCUGGAAUACAGUGCGGGGUAUGCUAUCAUAGAAGUAUAAACUGGGCACCCUAGGAGCAGAGUUGAUAUUGCUAUGACUGUCUGGGGACAUCAGGACAGACUUCAUAGAGCAGAGAUCUGAAACUGGACAAUGUCCUGUUGGACCACGAGGGUCACUGUAAACUGGCAGACUUCGGAAUGUGCAAGGAGGGGAUUUGCAAUGGUGUCACCACGGCCACAUUCUGUGGCACGCCAGACUAUAUCG
rnacentral:lncRNA from 10 species